GAGCGCAACCCCUACAAUUAGUUACCCACAGGUUAAUAUGAGGACUUUAAUUGAACCGUAGGAGCAAGUAGUGAGGAAGGAGGGGAAGAUGUCAAGUCAUCAUGUCCGACCAGCCCAGGGUCACACACUUGGUACAAUGGUACCUACAGAGGGCAAAGACGGAAGGCAGAGUUUCCCCUUAAAAUAAAUCUCAGUCCGGAUCGCAGUCGGCUACUCGACAUCGUGAAGUUGGAUUCCCUAGUAAUCGCAGAUC
rnacentral:rRNA from 1 species